rnacentral:rRNA from 1 species
GGUACCGUAAGGUGGUACCAGAAUAAGGGCUGGGCAAGACCGGUGCCAGCCGCCGCGGUAAUACCGGCAGCCCAAGUGAUGGCCGAUCUUAUUGGGCCUAAAGCGUCCGUAGCUGGCCGCGCAAGUCCAUCGGGAAAUCCACCUGCUCAACAGGUGGGCGCCCGGUAGAAACUGCGUGGCUUGGGACCGGAAGGCGCGACGGGUACGUCCGGGGUAGGAGUGAAAUCCCGUAAUCCUGGACGGACCGCCGAUGGCGAAAGCACGUCGCGAGAACGGAUCCGACAGUGAGGGACGAAAGCCAGGGUCUCGAACCGGAUUAGAUACCCGGGUAGUCCUGGCCGUAAACAAUGUCUGCUAGGUGUGGCUCCCACUACGAGUGGGUGCUGUGCCGUAGGGAAGCCGCUAAGCAGACCGCCUGGGAAGUACGUCCGCAAGGAUGAAACUUA